AGUUGCUGUGGUGUAGUGGUUAUCACGUUAGUCUUACACACUAAAGGUCCCCAGUUCGAUCCUGGGCAGCAACAUUAAGUAG
rnacentral:tRNA from 1 species